UCUCCUGGAAACGGGUGGUAAUGCCGGAUGCUCCGACUCCUCGCAUGGGGUGUCGGGAAAGAUUUCAUCGGUAUGGGAUGGGGUCGCGUCCUAUCAGGUAGUCGGCGGGGUAACGGCCCACCGAGCCUACGACGGGUAGCCGGCCUGAGAGGGCGACCGGCCACAUUGGGACUGAGAUACGGCCCAGACUCCUACGGGAGGCAGCAGUGGGGAAUAUUGCACAAUGGGCGCAAGCCUGAUGCAGCGACGCCGCGUGCGGGAUGACGGCCUUCGGGUUGUAAACCGCUUUUGAUCGGGAGCAAGCCUUCGGGUGAGUGUACCUUUCGAAUAAGCACCGGCUAACUACGUGCCAGCAGCCGCGGUAAUACGUAGGGUGCAAGCGUUAUCCGGAAUUAUUGGGCGUAAAGGGCUCGUAGGCGGUUCGUCGCGUCCGGUGUGAAAGUCCAUCGCUUAACGGUGGAUCUGCGCCGGGUACGGGCGGGCUGGAGUGCGGUAGGGGAGACUGGAAUUCCCGGUGUAACGGUGGAAUGUGUAGAUAUCGGGAAAGAACAC
rnacentral:rRNA from 1 species